rnacentral:misc_RNA from 1 species
GAUGAAGAACGUAGCGAAAUGCGAUAAGUAAUGUGAAUUGCAGAAUUCAGUGAAUCAUCGAAUGUUUGAACGCACAUUGCGCCCCCUGGUAUUCCGGGGGGCAUGCCUGUUCGAGCGUCAUUUCACCACUCAAGCCUCGCUUGGUAUUGGGCAACGCGGUCCGCCGCGUGCCUCAAAUCGACCGGCUGGGUCUUCUGUCCCCUAAGCGUUGUGGAAACUAUUCGCUAAAGGGUGUUCGGGAGGCUACGCCGUAAAACAACCCCAUUUCUAAGGUUGACCUCGGAUCAGGUAGGGAUACCCGCUGAACUUAAGCAUAUCAAUAAGCGGAGGA